GAUGAACGCUGGCGGCGUGCUUAACACAUGCGAGUCGAACGAAGCACCUUGAUUCGAUUCUUCGGAUGAAGAUCUUGGUGACUGAGUGGCGGACGGGUGAGUAACGCGUGGGUAACCUGCCUCAUACAGGGGGAUAACAGUUAGAAAUGACUGCUAAUACCGCAUAAGACCACAGCACCGCAUGGUGCAGGGGUAAAAACUCCGGUGGUAUGAGAUGGACCCGCGUCUGAUUAGGUAGUUGGUGGGGUAACGGCCUACCAAGCCGACGAUCAGUAGCCGACCUGAGAGGGUGACCGGCCACAUUGGGACUGAGACACGGCCCAAACUCCUACGGGAGGCAGCAGUGGGGAAUAUUGCACAAUGGGGGAAACCCUGAUGCAGCGACGCCGCGUGAGCGAUGAAGUAUUUCGGUAUGUAAAGCUCUAUCAGCAGGGAAGAAAAUGACGGUACCUGACUAAGAAGCACCGGCUAAAUACGUG
rnacentral:rRNA from 1 species